rnacentral:rRNA from 1 species
GCUAAACGCGAAGAACCUUACCCAGGCUUGACAUGCAGAUGACUGCUUCAGAAAUGAAGAGUCCCUUCGGGGCAUCUGCACAGGUGCUGCAUGGCUGUCGUCAGCUCGUGCCGUGAGGUGUUGGGUUAAGUCCCGCAACGAGCGCAACCCUUAUCAUUAGUUGCCAACAUUUUAGGUGGGAACUCUAAUGAGACUGCCUGGGUUAACCAGGAGGAAGGUGAGGAUGACGUCAAGUCCGCAUGGCCCUCAUGUCUGGGGCUACACACGUGCUACAAUGGCCGGUACAAAAGGCAGCGAAACCGUGAGGUGAAGCAAAUCCCCAAAGCCGGCCCAGUUCAGAUUGUAGUCUGCAACUCGACUACAUGAAGAUGGAAUUGCUAGUAAUGGCGAGUCAGCAACAUCGCCGUGAAUACGUUCCCGGGUCUUGUACACACCG